rnacentral:rRNA from 1 species
GAUGAACGCUGGCGGCGUGCCUAAUACAUGCAAGUCGAGCGAACGGACGAGAAGCUUGCUUCUCUGAUGUUAGCGACGGACGGGUGAGUAACACGUGGAUAACCUACCUAUAAGACUGGGAUAACUUCGGGAAACCGGAGCUAAUACCGGAUGAUAUUUUGAACCGCAUGGUUCAAAAGUGAAAGACGGUCUUGCUGUCACUUAUAGAUGGAUCCGCGCUGCAUUAGCUAGUUGGUAAGGUAACGGCUUACCAAGGCAACGAUGCAUAGCCGACCUGGGAGGGUGAUCGGCCCCACUGGAACUGAGCCCCGGUCCAGACUCCUACGGGAGGCAGCAGUAGGGAAUCUUCCGCAAUGGGCGAAAGCCUGCCGGAGCACCGCCGCGUGAGGGAUGAAGGUCUUCGGAUCGUAAAACUCUGUUAUUAGGGAAGAACAUAUGUGUAAGUAACUGUGCACAACUUGACGGUACCUAAUCAGAAAGCCACGGCUAACUACGUG